UGGUAGCCAUUGGAGGUGGUAUAUCGGUUACUAAGGCGCAGCUUGGAAGGCUGUAGUCGGGCCAUGAACGUCGUCUCCAUCCACCAAUCGAGUUAUCCCACGCCUCUUAUUGAAAGAUCGGGAAUCAACCCUAGCGGGUUCUUAUCACUAACAAAUAUUAUUUUGUAUUUUUCUUGUUUUUAUACAAUUUUAUACGCAUUUCUAAAUUUCUUAGCUGAUUUUAAUAGAAAAUAAAAACUAGUUUUACCCCGGGCCCUAGAAACUUUCUUUCCUAACAGAUCUACAUUUACUUUCACAACCAGCGCCCUUGAUCUUGUGCUUAACCUCCUGGAACAAAGCCCACCUAACACAUAAAUCCUUGACUUUUCUUGAAAAC
rnacentral:lncRNA from 1 species